GAUCCUGGCUCAGGACGAACGCUGGCGGCGUGCCUAACACAUGCAAGUCGAGCGGAGACAGUGAGUAGCUUGCUACGAGCUGUUUUAGCGGCGGACGGGUGAGUAACGCGUGAGCAACCUUUCCCAGACAGGGGAAUAACACACCGAAAGGUGUACUAAUACCGCAUAAGACCACGGGAUCACAUGGUUCUGGGGUAAAAGAUUUAUCGGUUUGGGGUGGGCUCGCGUCCGAUUAGGUAGUUGGUGAGGUAACGGCCC
rnacentral:rRNA from 1 species